GAUGAAGAACGUAGCAAAAUGCGAUACUUGGUGUGAAUUGCAGAAUCCCGUGAACCAUCGAGUUUUUGAACGCAAGUUGCGCCCGAAGCCUUUUGGCCGAGGGCACGUCUGCCUGGGCGUCACGCAUCGCGUCGCCCCCCACAAUUCUCCGUAAAGGGAACAUGUGUUUUGGGGGCGGAUAUUGGUCUCCCGUGCUCAUGGCGUGGUUGGCCGAAAUAGGAGUCCUUUCGAUGGACGCACGAACUAGUGGUGGUCGUAAAAACCCUCGUCUUUUGUUUCGUGCUGUUGCUCGCAAGGUAAACUCUUUAAAAACCCCAAUGUGUCGUCUCUUGACGACGCUUCGACCGCGACCCCAGGUCAGGCGGACUACCCGCUGAGUUUAAGCAUAUCAAUAAGCGGAGGA
rnacentral:misc_RNA from 1 species